GGUUAAAAAGCUCGUAGUUGGAUUACUGUUGAGGAUGACCGGUCCGCUCUUUGAGCGCGUAUCUGGUUCAGCCUUGGCAUCCUCUUGGGGAACGCUACUGUGCUUGAUUGCAUGGGGCGGUAUUCAAGACUUUUACUUUGAGGAAAUUAGAGUGUUCACUGCAAGCGUUAGCAAUUGAAUACAUUAGCAUGGAAUAAUAAUAUAGGACCUUGGUACUAUUUUGUUGGUUUCUAGAACUAAGGUAAUGAUUAAUAGGGACAAUUGGGGGCAUUCGUAUUAACGCGUCAGAGGUGGAAUUCUUAGAUUGCGUUACGACGAACUACUGCGAAAGCAUUUGCCAAGGAUGUUUUCAUUGAUCAAGAACGAAAGUAUGGGGAUCGAAGACGCUUAGAUACCGUCGUAGUCUAUACCAUAAACUAUGCCAACUAGAGAUUGGAGGUCGUUCUCUUUAUGACUCCUUCAGCACCUUAUGAGAAAUCAAAAGUCUUUGGGUUCCGGGGGGGAGUAUGGUCGCAAGGCUGAAACUUAAAGGAAUUGACGGAAGGGCACCACCAGGAGUGGAGCCUGCGGCUUAAUUUGACUC
rnacentral:rRNA from 1 species